UGGCGGUGCGCCUAACACAUGCAAGUCGAACGAAUGAUUGUGAAGGAACUUUACGGAGGGAAAACACAAUGACUGAGUGGCGGACGGGUGAGUAACGCGUAGGGAACCUGGCCCUUACAGGGGGAUAACAGAUGGAAACAACUGCUAAUACCGCAUAAGCGCCCAGCCUCGCAUGAGGCAGAGUGAAAAACUAAGGUGGUAAGGGAUGGCCCUGCGUCCGAUUAGCUAGUUGGUAUGGUAACGGCAUACCAAGGCGACGAUCGGUAGCCGGCCUGAGAGGGUGGACGGCCACAUUGGGACUGAGACACGGCCCAAACUCCUACGGGAGGCAGCAGUGGGGGAUAUUGCACAAUGGGGGAAACCCUGAUGCAGCGACACCGCGUGGGUGAAGAAGCGCUUCGGCGUGUAAAGCCCUAUCAGUGGGGAAGAAAAAGGACGGUACCCAAAGAAGAAGCACCGGCUAAAUACGUGCCAGCAGCCGCGGUAAUACGUAUGGUGCAAGCGUUAUCCGGAAUGACUGGGUGUAAAGGGAGCGUAGACGGUUGUACAAGUCUGAUGUGAAAGCCCACGGCUCAACUGUGGGAGUGCAUUGGAAACUGUAGAACUAGAGUAUCGGGAGAGGCAAGUGGAAUUCCUAGUGUAGCGGUGAAA
rnacentral:rRNA from 1 species